GCUGCGAAACAGGGCUGCCUCUACGAAACCGGGCACUUUCCCUUCCUUUAGCCUUUUUUUUUUUUUUACUUUUUUUUUCUUUGACUUCGUCUCAAAACCAUCAAGAAACUGACGGGACUUUAGGAAAGCGUUUGUCCCCCUCCCCACCCUGCCCAUUGAAUAAUUCUUUUUUGAGAUUCUUUGUUAUCAAGCGCCAAAGUGGAGAGUGGCGAUUGCAGAAGGUGGUGCUUCUCGUUUCAGUGCUUCGUCAGGUGGAGGCGGUAGGGGUGCCUCUCAGCACUACACCAAGACUGUCGGCAACAG